rnacentral:lncRNA from 1 species
CUUUUCUUUCUGGCCGAUCAUGGAAAUAACAUAACCAUGGGUAGCCUGCUGGUCAGCAGAGCCACCCUAGGUAAUUAAUAGACAUGCAGUGACAAAAAGAGCUUCCCAGUUGAGCCAAGCCUAUGUCAAUCAGAUUCUAGUAGAUUCACAGAUGCAUGAGCAGUAAGAAAAGUUUACACUUAUUGGAGUGAUUUGUUAUGUAGCAAUAAGUAACCAAUACAAUACGUUUUAAAAUAUUUUCUCUGCGAUGAGGCUUCCUCUUUGAAGAUCACAGGUGAGAAGAUUAGGUGCUUUCUCAGAAGCCCAGCAACCUGAUGGGAGUGUGGAGUGAGCAAGACCCAAAUCGGAGCUUCAUCCCUGCAUGGUUCAUUUUGCUUAUUUGGCAAACUUGCCCUGCAGAAUCUACUCAAGCUUCCUCAGUUUCUCAAAUCAUUCUUGGGCAACAAAUGAACAAGAAAGAGGACGUCUUAUUAUCUGGUGUCUGGCUUGCUGAUUUAAUAACCUAGGAGACAGUGUUUGAAGAACACAAACUCUAAAGUCCUUCACUUAAAAAAAAAAAAAAACUUUCCCAAAUUGCUUACCAUUUGGAAAAAUUGCCUUACCUUCUUCAGUCAUCUCUGAUGUUGUCAUCCUCAGAGUAAGAAGUACGCAUUCAUAAGGAACCAUAACGUCCUUCAGGAAAUCCAGUACACCCUACAAUUUUACCUAAAACUUUGAUGUUGUUUUUUCUGAGCAUUUUACCUUCUAGGGAAAUGGAUCUCAUGCUGUUUAUCAGUUUCUGAAAGUUGUUAUUAAUCUCCCCUCAUCCCAAAAUUGAAGAACUUUGCUUAAAUCUUAGAAUCAGAACUUUGGCUCCAGUAAUAAAGACUUUUCAAUAUCUUUAUCUGCCAUUGAGUCUUACCUAACGAAAUAAAGCCUCCAAAGUGGGAAUUUGAAAUGUUUUAGAAUCUUUUUUUUUCCUUUUGACAUAGUGAUUGGUGGGAUGCUACAGGCAGUUAGUGGUUAGGGUCCAGAAAUGCCAGACAUCUUGCAGUGAGAGGGAUAGUCUGUACAAGGAAGAAUUCUCACAUGUU